UACAGAGGUCCCAAGCGUUGUUCGGAUUCACUGGGCGUAAAGGGUGCGUAGGCGGUCGGGUAAGUCUGAUGUGAAAUCUCACAGCUUAACUGUGAAACUGCAUUGGAUACUAUCCGGCUCGAGGAAUGGAGGGGAGACUGGAAUACUUGGUGUAGCGGUGAAAUGCGCAGAUAUCAGGAAGAACACCCGUGGCUAAGGCGGCUCUCUAGUACGGUACUGACGCUGAGACGCGAAAGCGUGGGGAGCGAACAGG
rnacentral:rRNA from 1 species